UACGGGGGGGGCAAGCGUUGUUCGGAAUUACUGGGCGUAAAGGGCUCGUAGGCGGCCAACUAAGUCAGACGUGAAAUCCCUCGGCUUAACCGGGGAACUGCAUCUGAUACUGGAUGGCUUGAGUUCGGGAGAGGGAUGCGGAAUUCCAGGUGUAGCGGUGAAAUGCGUAGAUAUCUGGAGGAACACCGGUGGCGAAGGCGGCAGCCUGGACCGACACUGACGCUGAGGAGCGAAAGCCAGGGGAGCAAACGGG
rnacentral:rRNA from 1 species